CCCAGCUGGAGAGAGGAAAUGGGAAGGAACACAGGAAGAGGUUCGAGCCUCUUCCCAUCCUGGACUGAGCGGAGGAGGACUUUGCCUGGGUUCUCGGUCGCCAGCUCGCCUCGGGUCCUGGCCCCUUGCCUCAGUUUCCCUUUCCUGCCCCCAAAGCGAGAACAGGGUGGAGGAGGUGGGUGCCAGAGAGGUCACCCACUGCCUCCAGGCAUGGCCACACCUAAACUACAGCUCCUGAUGGCUAAGAAUCAAGCCCACUUCUAAAGAAGUCUGGAGGAGGAGACAUGUCUGUCACGAGCAGAAAUUUUACAUGAGGGAAGCCUUAGGAAGCUCAGAACCCGUGGCCCCAGGCUGCACGUGUGCAUUAUUGUACGUGUGUCUUCAUUUGUGCCUGCCAGUUUGCACAAAAUGCCCUGCUCUCUGCUGCCCGCCACUCUGCUUUUGGCUCUGCCGCUGGGGAGGUGGGCAUGAGCUGGGAAAGCUGCUGGGAGGAGAAGGUGUUAGAAGCCAUUCCAGCGGUGAAAAGGUUGCAAGUGGAUUGUUUAGAGCCUGGAGGAAGAGGGGAUUCUCCUUGGCAUUAGGAGAUUCACUCACAUGGGGAGAGGUGCCAGAGAUGUUCAGCCUAUCUGUGGCAGGGGCCCGUGGGUGGGCCGACUAGCUCCCUCCUUGAGACCCCAGCAGCCCAUGAGUCAUGGCGCCCCAAAUACAGCGAGACUUGCCUCCUUCGACUUUUAUUUCUACCCGGAUUGACAAGUUUGUUUGAAAGUGUGUGUGUCCACUGAGGAUAUUUAUAAUCACACUUAAAAAACAAAGAAAACUGCCAGCCACCUCCCCCAAUGCGGUCCCUCAGUCGUUAGGAGAGAGCCAGGCAGUUUAUCACCUGAGUUAGCCUGUGCCUGGCUGGCUCCCACGGCUCCUGGAGGAGGCCCACCUGCCAACGGCUGCCUGUGAGGUGCCGGCCCCUCCCCCCCAGGAUGGGCCUUCUCUUCACCGUGGCAUUCAAGGCUAAGGGUGCCAAGAUUGGCUCUCUCUCCCCACCCCCACCCCCUCCUCUGUAGUCUUCCAGCCUCAUGGUGAGUGAAUGCAUGUGGAAUGAAGGCUGGGGGUGGGACUGGAGCUGGAGAUUCUGCUCUUCAGCUCUUCUCUCAGCUAUGGAAUUUCAUUUAUUAAAUGUCUA